rnacentral:rRNA from 1 species
UACGAAGGGUGCAAGCGUUAAUCGGAAUUACUGGGCGUAAAGGGUGCGUAGGCGGUUUGUUAAGUCUGUUGUGAAAUCCCCGGGCUCAACCUGGGAAUGGCGUUUGAAACUGGCAGGCUAGAGUUUGGCAGAGGGGGGUGGAAUUCCACGUGUAGCAGUGAAAUGCGUAGAGAUGUGGAGGAACACCGAUGGCGAAGGCAGCCCCCUGGGUCAAGACUGACGCUCAUGCACGAAAGCGUGGGGAGCAAACAGG